rnacentral:rRNA from 1 species
CCUACGGGUGGCAGCAGUGAGGAAUAUUGGUCAAUGGGCGCGAGCCUGAACCAGCCAAGUCGCGUGAGGGAGGACGGCCCUACGGGUUGUAAACCUCUUUUGCCGGGGAGCAACGGGCGUCACGUGUGGCGCCCCUGAGAGUACCCGGAGACAAAGCAUCGGCUAACUCCGUGCCAGCAGCCGCGGUAAUACGGAGGAUGCGAGCGUUAUCCGGAUUUAUUGGGUGUAAAGGGAGCGUAGGCGGGACUGCAAGUUGGGGGUAAAAUCUACCGGCUCAACCGGUAGCCGCACUCAAAACUGCAGUUCUUGAGGGAAGUAGAGGCAGGCGGAAUUCCUAGUGUAGCGGUGAAAUGCGUAGAUAUUAGGAGGAACACCAGUGGCGAAGGCGGCCUGCUGGGCUUUGACUGACGCUGAGGCUCGAAAGUGUGGGGAGCAAACAGGAUUAGAUACCCGUGUAGUC